UUUGUCUUUUGAUUGAACAUCUUGGCAGGCUCAUCCUUGCCAGAGGCUAGAGAUGUCAAAGACAAAAUUUAUUGGGAUUAAGGAAAUUGUAUUGAGUCCCUGGAGCACUACAGGAAGUGCUGACACCAAUCCUGGAGCACUACAGCUGGCCAGUGGAGCACCCUAGUCAGUGAUGAUGUCACCCUGUUGAGCACUCUAGGCAGUGAUGAUGUCAGUCCGUGGAGCACUCCCAGCAAUACUGACAUCUUAACAAUAUUAAAUGUACUAAU
rnacentral:lncRNA from 1 species